GUGAAUCAUCAAAUUUUUGAACGCAAAUUGCACUCUCUUCUGAGAGGAUGCGUGUUUGAGUGUCAGCCUAAAAAAAAAUCGAAAUAGUAGCUGUUUCGCGGUGACAUUCGUGGGAAAUUGGUGCAUCUUAAACCUUUGGGUUUUAAGCGGCUUAAAAUUUGCUUUACGAUUCUACGAACGUUUCGAAGAUGUACUUCUUGUACGAUU
rnacentral:misc_RNA from 1 species